rnacentral:rRNA from 1 species
UCCUGGCUUAGGACGAACGCUGGCGGCGUGCCUAACACAUGCAAGUCGAGCGAGGAGAUCCUUCGGGAUGAUCCUAGCGGCGGACGGGUGAGUAACACGUGGGCAACCUGCCUCAUAGAGAGGAAUAGCCUUCCGAAAGGGAGAUUAAUACCUCAUAACAUUGCAGUUUCGCAUGGAACAGCAAUUAAAGGAGCAAUCCACUAUGAGAUGGGCCCGCGGCGCAUUAGCUAGUUGGUGAGGUAACGGCUCACCAAGGCGACGAUGCGUAGCCGACCUGAGAGGGUGAUCGGCCACAUUGGGACUGAGACACGGCCCAGACUCCUACGGGAGGCAGCAGUGGGGAAUAUUGCACAAUGGGGGAAACCCUGAUGCCAGCAACGCCGCGUGAGUGAUGACGGCCUUCGGGUUGUAAAGCUCUGUCUUCAGGGACGAUAAUGACGGUACCUGAGGAGGAAGCCACGGCUAACUACGUGCCAGCCGCCGC